UACGGAGGGGGCUAGCGUUGUUCGGAAUUACUGGGCGUAAAGCGCACGUAGGCGGCUUUGCAAGUUAGAGGUGAAAGCCCGGGGCUCAACUCCGGAAUUGCCUUUAAAACUGCAUCGCUAGAAUUGUGGAGAGGUAAGUGGAAUUCCGAGUGUAGAGGUGAAAUUCGUAGAUAUUCGGAAGAACACCAGUGGCGAAGGCAGCCAUCUGGACCGACACUGACGCUGAGGCGCGAAAGCGUGGGGAGCAAACAGG
rnacentral:rRNA from 1 species